rnacentral:rRNA from 1 species
CGGCGUGCCUAACACAUGCAAGUCGUACGAGAAAGUCCGCUUCGGUGGAUGAGUAAAGUGGCGCACGGGUGAGUAACGCGUGGAUAAUCUACCCUUUAGUCCGGAAUAACUUAUCGAAAGGUGAACUAAUACCGGAUGAUAUCCCGAUUUCCCCGGAGAUCGGGAUCAAAGAAGGCCUCUGCUUGCAAGCUUUUGCUGAAGGAUGAGUCCGCGUACCAUUAGCUAGUUGGUAGGGUAAUGGCCUACCAAGGUUAUGAUGGUUAGCUGGUCUGAGAGGAUGAUCAGCCACACUGGAACUGAGACACGGUCCAGACUCCUACGGGAGGCAGCAGUGAGGAAUAUUGCGCAAUGGGGGCAACCCUGACGCAGCAACGCCGCGUGAGUGAGGAAGGUUUUCGGAUUGUAAAGCUCUGUCGAGCGGAAAGAAAUGCAUUAUGGCUAAUAUCCAUAGUGCUUGACGGUACCGCUAGAGGAAGCACCGGCUAACUCCGUG